rnacentral:rRNA from 1 species
GAUGAACGCUGGCGGCGUGCUUAACACAUGCAAGUCGAACGGAAAGGCCCAAGCUUGCUUGGGUACUCGAGUGGCGAACGGGUGAGUAACACGUGGGUGAUCUGCCCUGCACUUCGGGAUAAGCCUGGGAAACUGGGUCUAAUACCGGAUAGGACCACUUCUUGGAUGUUGUGGUGGAAAGUUUUUUCGGUGUGGGAUGAGCUCGCGGCCUAUCAGCUUGUUGGUGGGGUAAUGGCCUACCAAGGCGUCGACGGGUAGCCGGCCUGAGAGGGUGUACGGCCACAUUGGGACUGAGAUACGGCCCAGACUCCUACGGGAGGCAGCGGUGGGGAAUAUUGCACAAUGGGCGCAAGCCUGAUGCAGCGACGCCGCGUGGGGGAUGACGGCCUUCGGGUUGUAAACUCCUUUCGCUAGGGACGAAGCGUUUUGUGACGGUACCAGGAGAAGAAGCACCGGCUAACUACGUG